GAAUAAUACUGUAAGGAGAGCAGGUAUUUAUGUAAAAUAGCUGAAUGUUAUGUGCACUUCAUGUAUUUCAAACUCUGUGCUGGUACUGCUUUGAAAAACACUGUGCCUCUGUAGAAUCCUAAGGCAGUUUUCUGGUUUGAUCUUAGCUACUCAGAGACCAAAGGUGAAACCUCCUCCUCCUUACAUUGCAAUCCAAGGAACAGCGGAGGCAACCCAGAGAUGGUCUCCGGAAUCUGCCUCGUCUGCUUCACCGGAAACCACGAGGACUGUGAUGGCUACCCGGAGACCAAGGCUGAAAUCCACUUCUCCUUCCUCCCUGGUGACCCAGCAAUCAGUGACGGGUAACUAGCAAAGCCUCUUCUUUUUCUGUUUUCUUCCUUCCCUCUUUCCCAUUCAUGCCCCCUGUCCCAGACCACCCAGCUUCAUUGUCAUCUGCCAUGGAGAGUACAGAGAUUUGUGGGUCCAGGAUCUUGGCUUGCAGAAGCACCUGCUGCAUUUGUUACACAAUUGUGUUGCUUGAUGCCCUGCUUUUUCCAUUGUUUUGGAGCAUUGUCUGUGGGGACUGAAUGACAGUUUGCCUAGAAGACAACGUGUUACUGCAUCUUGCUUUCAGCUGCCAUUUAUCUACUUCAUCCAUCACGGGAGCUGUCUUUCUUUCUCAGGCCCAUUCACAUGAGACAGUGCACAUGCCGGC